rnacentral:rRNA from 1 species
UCGGGAAUUUUGGGCAAUGGGCGAAAGCCUGACCCAGCAACGCCGCGUGAAGGAUGAAGUAUUUCGGUAUGUAAACUUCGAAAGAAUAGGAAGAAUAAAUGACGGUACUAUUUAUAAGGUCCGGUUAACUACGUGCCAGCAGCCGCGGUAAUACGUAGGGACCAAGCGUUGUUCGGAUUUACUGGGCGUAAAGGGCGCGUAGGCGGCAUGACAAGUCACUUGUGAAAUCUCUGGGCUUAACCCAGAACGGCCAAGUGAUACUGUCGCGCUAGAGUGCAGAAGGGGCAAUCGGAAUUCUUGGUGUAGCGGUGAAAUGCGUAGAUAUCAAGAGGAACACCUGAGGUGAAGACGGGUUGCUGGGCUGACACUGACGCUGAGGCGCGAAAGCCAGGGGAGCAAACGGGAUUAGAUACCCUAGUAGUCCCUGAGCGGGCUGGCAAGGCGCAU